AAGUUGACAUCUCCAGCUAGUUCUGGCAGCGUUUCAUAGCCCUUGGCACUCUGAGGAGCAAACCAGGGGCUCAGCAGUGGGGUGCCCUACGAAGUGAUGCCUCUUGCCUUUGGUUGUCAGCCGAGAUCUGCAGGCAGACGCUCUGGGACAAGAAUGCUAAAAAGCAGGAAGCAGAAAGAGAAUGAGAGCACACUGGUACUAUAGAGCUGUAUAGAGCUAGCAUAUGGACCGAGAUUUUUCAUCAUCAUUGGCAGGAGCUCUGCUGCAGGGAAUCUUGCAGCAACAUCACAAUUUUCCUACUGGAGUGGAUUCCAUAACGGACACAUUCGCGGCGUGAAUUAUGGGCAAGAUAGACAAAAUGUAAAUCUUUAUAGCAUUUUUA